UCGGGAAUAUUGGACAAUGGGCGCAAGCCUGAUCCAGCAAUACCGCGUGUGUGAAGAAGGCCUGCGGGUUGUAAAGCACUUUCAGUUGGGAAGAUAAUGACGUUACCAACAGAAGAAGCACCGGCUAACUCCGUGCCAGCAGCCGCGGUAAUACGGAGGGUGCAAGCGUUAAUCGGAAUUACUGGGCGUAAAGCGUGCGUAGGCGGUUAUUUAAGUCAGAUGUGAAAUCCCCGGGCUCAACCUGGGAACUGCAUCUGAUACUGGGUAACUAGAGUGUGGGAGAGGAGAGUGGAAUUUCCGGUGUAGCGGUGAAAUGCAUAGAGAUCGGAAGGAACACCAGUGGCGAAGGCGGCUCUCUGGUCCGACACUGACGCUGAGGCGCGAAAGCGUGGGGAGCAAACAGGAUUAGAUACCCCCGUAGUCCCUGAGCGGGCUGGCAAGGCGCAU
rnacentral:rRNA from 1 species